AUUAAAUCCUAUACCAAGUGUAGAACAUUUCAAAAGGAGCCACCCACGAUGUGAGCACAGCUACGGUCAACACAGAUAUAUGAGUGAGGAAAAUAAUGCAAAGUAAAAUUAAGACGCUAUUUAACGAACUAAGUACACACGUCGAUUAAAUUAAUAAACUAGCAGUAACCAAUGGUUAGGAAGUGCGGGCGGUUGUUUGUUGCGAGAUGGAACAGAUACUGAGGAUAACAAGGUAGAACACCCAGAAAAUAGUUCUUCAGGUGGCUAAUGGAAUAGGAAUUUCGAAAUAUAGGUCUUAAACCACCGGAAAACUUUUUGAGGGAGGUCAGUGACUAAAACUUAAAUGGACACCCAAAGGGCGUGGACAAAAAGAAGCUGCUCUUUAAAUGGAAUGAAAACUUUAUUGUAAAUAAACGGAAUUACCUACAUAUAAGUCAAAGCAGUAACAAGUGUUCAAGAACAAGGUCAACAACGAUGAAACAGCAAGUCAAAAACUGUAAUCCCUGAUUAUGCAGAUGCCAAUGUCUGGGAUGUAGCAAAACUAACUAUACAAUUUAAAACAAAGAGCCCUAGAGUACAAAGCCAACAACAACGAAACAGUAACAGUAAAAAACUAAACUAGUAACUUGAUUCGUUAAGUAAAGUUACUCUUUUUGCUCAUGUUGGAUUUUGCACUGGUUAUUUAAAACGUUGCUCUAGGUAGAAAUCAACAUUACACUUUUGUUUUGCACGUUUUCUGUGCUAAUUGACAA